UUCCCGCCAGCCGCCCCCGGCGGCCGGUGACUCAGCGCGCUGGGGGCGGUCAGACAAGGGCCGCUCCGAGCCCGGCGCAGGCACAGUCCAUGAGGCGCUCGGCCGGGAAGGAGGCGCGGCCGUUUCGCAGACGCAGGGAGACGCCCCGCCCCGCCCCGGAGCAGCCUCUCGCCGCGGAGCCCAUGGGACGCGACCACUCUCCUCUGGCGGCGACGGCGGCGCUGCUGCUGCUGCUGAGCCUGGCUUCGGCGGCCCUGACGUCCGCGCUCCCCCAGCUCUGCUCGCCCGGCAAGUUCCUCGGCUGCGCGGACUGUGGGAAGAGCCCGGACGAAGUUUGUCUCGCCUGCCCCAGGGGCACUUUCUCCGCCACUGUCAGUGCCCGGGAGAGCUGCACCAGGUGCCGCAGGUGUGAAGGGAAAUUCAAAUAUAAAAGGGAGUGUUCUCCAACAAUGGAUGCAGAAUGUGCAUGUAAGGAUGGGCAUCGCUGUAUUGGAAAAGACUGUUCUAAAUGUGUAGAAAACUGUGGCGUAGGUCAGGAACCUCUUGAAGAAGCUUGCCAAACUUGUCCCAGUGGGACAUUUAACAAUCAGACCAAUGGUCCCUGCAGACAAUGGACAAAAUGCCUUCCAGAUAAGGUCCUGGUGAAUGGGACUAAUAGGAGUGAUGUGGUUUGCGAACAAGCUUCAGAAACUAGGACUCCAUCCCCCAUUUCCAUCAUAGUCCCUGUCCAUGUACAAGGGAAGGAUCUUCAGGUGGUCACCAUUGGGAUCGCUGUUACUGUGGCCGUGGUGGUAUGCAUAAUGUUUCUGCUGCCUUUGUAUGUGUGCUUCAGCAUCUGCGACAAAAAGAAACUACCUGCUAUGUUCAAGAAAAGUGAAUUUUGCUGAUUCAGAAUUCCGAAGUGUCUCCUGAAAUUGGAAUGCUGGUAUACCAAGAUUUGGAUUUGUCCCCUAACAACAUUCAGAUGGAGUUUACAAGGACACAUUUCAGCUGCAACUUUAAGUAUUGGACACAUAGUAGCAUGUAUUUCUUUGUCUUUUAUCUACAUUGAGUGACUCAUACAUCAACAUUGUACAUUAGCUUAACUAGGGAAAGUACUGGGAAAAUCGUUGAAUAUCUUGGUCUUUAUUUCCUCAAACUGCCCUUUGAACUGUUAUGAACCUGAGAUCCCAUUGAAUGAAAAGAGACUGUGGUAGGGAGAGAGCAUUUAACUAGCUGGAAAAUAAUUCUUCUUCACAAGGCUCUAAAACUUUACUCCUUCACAAGUAUACAAGGCCUUAAAAUAGUCCAGAAUAUAUAUGUAUAAGAGAUUACUAGUCUGAAAAUAAAAAAAACCCUACUUUGUUCUGUCUAUUCUGCCUCCUUGGGCUGGGAAGUCUGAACUUUCCAGGGUCUGACCUCUGACUGGGGAUCCAAGUACCUCAGCAUCUAACCAUACCUCUUUAUAUUAAGACAAUAACAAGAGUUUAUGCUAACUUGAUCUAUAAGACAGAAGACAGGCAGCUCUGUGGUGUACAUUGACCAAGGAGGAAGGUUAUAAGAUCUAUAGUGAGACCAAGUUUGAAUAAUCUGGUUCUUACAAUUCUGUGUAGAUUCAUGAAAUCCCCCCACUGGUAUUAGGAACACACCAUUAUAUUUGAAUUGUAACCUGCCCACACUUUGAAGGUAAGCUUUUGACCCUAUGUUACUUAUACUGUGUUUUAUAAAUGUUAGCUAAUUAAUUGUCAUGACAUCCCAGUGAGAGAUGGAUUAUUAUCCCCACUUUAUAGCUAGUGGAACGGAUACUAAGAGGUUCAAGACUUGUCUCACACCACACAUCAAGUCAGGAGUUGAACUAGAGUAAGAAUGCAGCCCGUGCUGCCUCCCUGAUGAGCUGAAGGCUGAGAGCUAGCAAAGAAUUUCAUUUCAGCCGCAUCUGUUAUUUCUGAUGUACUGGAAAAAAAGUCAGCGUUAUUGAGUCCCUCGAGAUACACCAAACAGCAGCACAGUACAAUAAGCAAAGGCACUGGGUGCAGACUGUCUUUUGUGCUAACGAUACUCCUUCCCUUCUGCCACACAGUUGUAUGACUUGGCUUCCUGUUAUUAAAAAGGCAAAGGAUCAUAAGCACAUGCUACCCCAGAUCCAAAAGUGCAUCAUUCCCAGGAGCAAACCAUGGUCAUCACUGGCAUGUGUCAUAUGUUCUGUCUGUUCAUUUUAGAUCACAUGGCUACUAACAACAUUGCCCUGGACAAUCCCCUGGAUGCUCAGAGUAGACACUCCUUGUCCUGUGCCACAUUUGGCUGCCAGCAUUAUAGUUUCAUUUUUUAUUCAGACACAAGAUCCAUGUAAGAAGUGUCCAGUGUCUACUUAUUGAACCAGACAAUUAGAUGCAUGCCACAGCUCAAAGAAACACACGCCAUUCUUUGCUGCUUCAGUACAUCUGGAGAACUUUGAACAGAGUUACCACGGGGUCUGGAUGUGUGGCUUUCACUUUCCUAAUCUCCUGCCUGACUCAUCCAGGAAGUGACAGCAUGUUACAGGGGCAACAAAUACGUCUUCAAGAGCUUGGUGCUUAUUUGUUCUGAUGCCAACAACUGGGCCAUGAAGUUGCAUUGGCUUUGGAAGCUAAAGAAAGGCGUGAGCUUCCCCUUUUUUGAAGUAUUUUUAAGGACAAGCCACCUCCUUCUUCCACAGUCCUGGAAUUUUGCCCUGAUAUCUGCCACAUUAUACACACACACUUGGGUCAGGAAGACAUUUUCUAACUGCUAAGAAAAACAAAUGAGGGAAAUGUGAACAGCCUGCAUCUAGCCUGUUACCUCAUCC